rnacentral:hammerhead_ribozyme from 1 species
AUUCAGCUGACCAGUCGGGAAUAAGACGAAACAUGAGUCAAACUGGAU